rnacentral:misc_RNA from 1 species
GUGAAUCAUCGAAUUUUUGAACGCAAAUUGCACUCUCCUCGGAGAGUAUGCCUGUUUGAGGUUCAGCCUAUAAAAAAUCGCCAUCGUUGCUGUUUCACGGGGGAGUUCGUCGGACAUUGUGUCAUCUUAAGUCUUUUUGUUUUAAGCGACUUAAAAUUUUCUUUUUGGUUACAUGAUCGAUUCUAAUAUUUAUUUCUUUACACGUUUAAGGUA